AUUGAACGCUGGCGGCAUGCCUUACACAUGCAAGUCGAACGGUAACAGGUCUUCGGAUGCUGACGAGUGGCGAACGGGUGAGUAAUACAUCGGAACGUGCCUAGUAGUGGGGGAUAACUACUCGAAAGAGUGGCUAAUACCGCAUGAGAUCUACGGAUGAAAGCAGGGGAUCGCAAGACCUUGUGCUACUAGAGCGGCCGAUGGCAGAUUAGGUAGUUGGUGGGAUAAAAGCUUACCAAGCCGACGAGCUUGAGCUGGUCUGAGAGGACGAUCAGCCACACUGGGACUGAGACACGGCCCAGACUCCUACGGGAGGCAGCAGUGGGGAAUUUUGGACAAGGGGCGCAAGCCUGAUCCAGCAAUGCCGCGUGCAGGAUGAAGGCCUUCGGGUUGUAAACUGCUUUUGUACGGAACGAAAAGCCCUGGGUUAAUACCCUGGGGUCAUGACGGUACCGUAAGAAUAAGCACCGGCUAACUACGUGCCAGCCGCCGCAGUAAUAC
rnacentral:rRNA from 1 species